rnacentral:tRNA from 1 species
AAUAAAAUGGCUGAGAUUAAGCAUUAGAUUGUAAAUCUAACUACGAAUUACUAAAUUCUUUUAUUA